rnacentral:lncRNA from 1 species
AUGGAAGAAGUUCCCUGCCUGAAAUCCGUCCACGUUAUUCUCAUCAGAAGGUGGCUGCACAUGACUCCAGAACAAAGGACUGCACAAAACCCAAGCUCCCCUCCCUGGGCAGGAGCAGGGCAGCGAGUCUGUCCCCCCAGCCUCUGCGGCCACCACUGGUGCACGGAGUCCUGUCCCAGGGCGGGGGUUCGAGUCCACACUCCAAGCCUCUGCGGCCACCACUGGUGCACGGAGUCCUGUCCCAGGGCGGGGGUUCGAGUCCACACUCCAAGCCUCUGCGGCCACCACUGGUGCACGGAGUCCUGUCCCAGGGCAGGGGUUCGAGUCCACUCUCCAAGCCUCUGCGGCCACCACUGGUGCACAGAGUCCUGUCCCCACCACUGGGCGGGGGUUCGAGUCCACACUCCAAGCCUCUGCGGCCACCACUGGUGCACGGAGUCCUGUCCCAGGGCGGGGGUUCGAGUCCACACUCCAAGCCUCUGCGGCCACCACUGGUGCACGGAGUCCUGUCCCAGGGCGGGGGUUCGAGUCCACUCUCCAAGCCUCUGCGGCCACCACUGGUGCACAGAGUCCUGUCCCAGGGCGGGGGUUCGAGUCCAUUCUCCAAGCCUCUGCGGCCACCACUGGUGCACGGAGUCCUGUCCCAGGGCGGGGGUUCGAGUCCAUUCUCCAAGCCUCUGCGGCCACCACUGGUGCACAGAGUCCUGUCCCGGGGGGGGGUUCGAGUCCACACUCCAAGCCUCUGCAGCCACCACUGGUGCACAGAGUCCUGUCCCAGGGCGGGGGUUCGAGUCCACACUCCAAGCCUCUGCGGCCACCACUGGUGCACAGAGUCCUGUCCCAGGGCAGGGGUUCGAGUCCACUCUCCAAGCCUCUGCGGCCACCACUGGUGCACAGAGUCCUGUCCCGGGGGGGGGUUCGAGUCCACACUCCAAGCCUCUGCGGCCACCACUGGUGCACGGAGUCCUGUCCCAGGGCAGGGGUUCGAGUCCACACUCCAAGCCUCUGCGGCCACCACUGGUGCACGGAGUCCUGUCCCAGGGCGGGGGUUCGAGUCCAUUCUCCAAGCCUCUGCGGCCACCACUGGUGCACAGAGUCCUGUCCCAGGGCAGGGGUUGA